rnacentral:lncRNA from 1 species
AGGUCCCCUUUCUGCAACAGAGAGCUUUCUUCAUUCACUUAUUAAACUUUCACUCCGACCUCACCCUUUGGGUCCAUACUCCUUAAUUCUCUUGGUCUUGGGUGAUACCUCACAAGGAGAGACUGCUACAUUGUGGUGCAUUGGUGAGACUGUAACAGACUCCUUUCCAAGUGUUUGGUGUCUGAGUUUUCAGAAGGUUUGACAUGCAUUUCUUCAUUUAAUGCUUAGAACAGACCACCACCAAUAAUAACAACUCCACAUCUUAUUUUUCAGAUGGGGAAACUAUGAUUCAGAAUGAUAACAAUUAAUACAAAGCUGAAGCAAGAUUCAAAUCCAAGUCUUCUGACUUGAAAUCCUACUUUCUUGCCACUUUUUAAACUAUUUAUCUGAUGUUGGCAAUUCAUGGCAAUCAGAGGAUGGAUGAAGGGCUCUGGAGGUUUUGGUUACAGUCAGGGAGCAUUAGAAAGAACAAGUGUGCUUAGAUGAGGCGGGAAAGCCCAGGUACAUGAAGGAAAAGAAUAAUUUGCCUAAGUUGCCUAGUUUAAAAUCAUUUUUAAUUGGAAAGGUAUUUUUAUCUUCAUUUACAGAUGUGGAAACUAAGAUUCAGAAUGAUUAUUCAAAAAUCACAUAGCUAGUGGCAACCUCAAGGAUUGAAACCAGGUGUGUCUAUCUCUAAAUAUAGUGAUAAAAAGCAUGCAUUUUGGGUUGAACUCUGCUCUCCACAUAGAUCUUGGUCCAGCCCGCCCCCUAACCCUGGUGUCCUCAUGUGAAAUGAGGCUAAUAAUUGCCAGGCCUCUGAGCCCAAGCCAAGCCAUCACAUCCCCUGUGACUUGCACAUAUACGCCCAGAUGGCCUGAAGUAACUGAAGAAUCACAAAAGAAGUGAAUAUGCCCUGCCCCACCUUAACUGAUGACAUUCCACCACAAAAGAAGUGUAAAUGGCCAGUCCUUGCCUUAAGUGAUGACAUUACCUUGUGAAAGUCCUUUUCCUGGCUCAUCCUGGCUCAAAAAGCACCCCCACUGAGCACCUUGCGACCCCCACUCCUGCCUGCCAGAGAACAACCCCCCUUUGACUGUAAUUUUCCCUUACCUACCCAAAUCCUAUAAAUUGCCCCACCCCUAUCUCCCUUUGCUGACUCUCUUUUCAGACUCAGCCCACCUGCACCCAGGUGAUUAAAAGCUUUAUUGCUCACACAAAGCCUGUUUGGUGGUCUCUUCACACGGACACACAUGAAAUUUGGUGCCGUGACUCGGAUCGGGGGUCCUCCCUUGGGAGAUCAAUCCCCUGUCCUCCUGUUCUUUGCUCCGUGAGAAAGAUCCACCUACGACCUCAGGUCCUCAGACCGACCAGCCCAACGAACAUCUCACCAAUUUUAAAUCAGGACCUACCAGUCUGCCCUGCUCAUACUUGAUCUGGAUGAGACUGAUACCCUGCGAGACGCAACAGAAUCAGCUCCUGGGAUUGUGUUAGCAGAAUGACGGGAGUGUGAGAUCCACCACAUGGCGAGGCACCCCAGGAACCUGUUUUCUUCUUGAAGAGCAACCGAGAACUAUUUCCAAGUUAUCCUUCACUUUGAGGACAGCAUGGAGGUGUCUGAUUUCUGCUUGGGCUGAGGAUUCAGGAGAAGAUGUGUGGAACACAGCCUGGACAUGCCCCAACCUGGUUGAUGAAUUCCACCCCAAGUAGUGGAAGAAACACACCUACAACAUGAGCAGAGAAGAUUUUUCUUCUGUACUUUCCAGGACUUGAAGCUGCUUUGUUUUUUGGUCGCUGGGUGGGGAAGGAGGAACAAUAGUAUAGCUUCCAGAAGAGAGAAGAGAGAUAUCUCUUGAGUGUGAAUUAAGCAGUACCAAGAGGCCUCAAGCUAGCUCUCUCUCCUGCUUUAAAUUCUACUGUUAAGAGUUUUUCUUUAAGUUUAAAACCUUGAAAGCUCCAUGAUGCUCCUGAGUAGAACAAUAAAGCCAUUAGUAGUCAAUGGCCGUCUUUAAUAUUUUUCUUCCAUUUCAAUUUUAGUUCUAAUUUUAUCUGACUCCUAAAAAUAUGUUUCAUAUUCUCAUGAGGGCUGGGCCCAUAUGUGUAAAUGGUUGAAACAUCUUACUUUGUUGACUGAACUAGUCUAAAUAGUCAGUCAAAUUUUUUUUUUAGGCAAAAGUGAAUUUCAUCAAAUUGGUUGGCCCACAAUUUCUUAAAUUCAUCAUUGAUUGAUUAUCUGUGAUGUGCCAAUCCCUGUGCAAGUUCCUAGGGCAACAGAAGUAAAAAUCCAUAAUCUCUGUUUCCAGGACUCUAUCAGUUUGAUAGGGACACAGGCACAUAAGCAGACAAUCAUAAUGCAGUGGUAGUAGGGAUAUGCCACUCUCAUCCAGGCAGUGUAUUGAUGACCAUGUCCUUGAGUUCCCAAGUACAUUGAAAAAGGUGUAAUAAGGAGAUGCUAAAUUAGCAGGUAGUACUUAUAUGAAGUUCUACUGUGUCUACUCCUGUGCCAGGUGUUUCGGUUGGGAAUGAGUAUUGGGUAAGAGGAGAAUAGAAGAUGGAAAGGCAGAAAACACCAACUCAGCUGAUAUGGUUGGGAUGUUUGUCUCCUCUAAACCUCACAUUGAAAUGUAAUCCCCAGUGUUAGAGGUGGGGCCUAGUGAAAGGUAUUGGAUGAGGGGAGUGGAUCCUUCAUGAAUGGCUUAGUGUCAUCCCCUUGGUGAUGAGUGAGUUCUCGUUCUGUUAGUUUACACAAGAUCUGGUUACUUAAAAGGGUGUGGAACCUCCCCCUCCUCUCUCUUACUCCCUCUCACCAUGUGACAUGUUGGCUCCCCUUCCCCCUCAUCAUGACUGUAAGCUUCCUGAAGCCCUUUCCAGAAGCAGAAACCGGCACCAUGCUUCAUGUACAGUCUGCAGAACCGUGAGCCAAUUAAACCUCUUUCCUUCAUAAAGCACACAGCUUCAGAUAUCUCUUUGUAACAAAGCAAAAACUGACUAACACAUCACCCAUUAAAGAGUUUACAAUUUAUUUAGAGGAAAUAAGAUGGAAGUGUAGGGAGUUAUUAGAAAGCAAGACAACCUACAAAUCUGUAAAGUAUAAGCAUCAAACUUUGUGAACAAAGAGUAUGAUGUAGGUAUUGAGAAAAGAAAAAGUGGGAUAUAGGGUGGAACAGUCUCAGAAAAGUCCUCCCAAAGGACACAGGUAAGAGAAAGACAUGGAAGAACUGGUCCAACUUACAUUGGUAGAAUCAGAGGGCUUAGGUCUUUUUUUUUUUUUUUUCUUUUUUUUUUUGAGACAGUUUCACUCUUGCUGCCCAGGCUGGAGUGCAAUGGCACAAUCUUGGCUCACUGCAACCUCUGCCUCCCGGGUUCAAGUGAUUCUCCUGCCUCGCCUCCCAAGUAGCUGGGAUUACAGGCGCCCGCAACUACGCCUGGCUAAUUUUCGUAUUUUUAGUAGAGAUGGGGUUUCACCACGUUGGCCAGGGUGCUCUUGAACUCCUGACAUCAGGUGAUCUGCCCUCCUUGGCCUCCCAAAGUGCUGGGACUACAGGCAUGAGCCACUGUGCCUGGCUGGGCCUAGGUCUUCUAAGCAGUGGAAAUGGCAGAGGCAAGUGUCCAGAGCUGGGAAUAAGGGGAUGUUAUGUGGGUAUCAUAGGGAUGGGGGCAGGGGACUUCACAAUAAGACACCAGCCAGUCUAAAGUUGAGUUUGUGUAGGAUUUUUUACUCAUAUAUUAUUGAGGGCCAUGCAUUGAACUACAUAUUAUGGAUAAAUAAUUAAUACAUUCCUGCCAUCUUGAAGUUUAUAAUCUAGUCCUACAAAGAAACUUAUCAGAGAGGUUUCUCUGAGGCUUAGUGUGUUGCGGUCUAUGCCUUUUCAUUUCAUCCUUCAAAUACUGUCUACUCAAUGAAAUUUACCUGGCCUGUUCAGCCAAAAUAAUUUAUAAAGGCAAUAAUAGCUAACAUUAUUAACACUCUCCUAGACCAGUGUACUGUACUAACUACUUUGCAUGCCUUAUUCAUAAUAAGUUAAGGUCUCUUAUAUUUUUCAGUGUACUAUGCACCAUGUUAUGGUCUUUACAAAGAUUACAUAGUGUAAUCUUUACACUAAACUUUGCAAGGGUGUACUACUAUUAUCCCCAUUGUCUCUAUGAGAAAGCUGAGGCUCUGCAAGGUUAAAUGAUUUCCCCAAGGUUCUCUUAAACUUCGUAGGGGAAGAUGGAGGAUGCUUAGAGAGUGGUAUGAACAACAUUGUGUGCCUCCUGAUGUGAUACAAUGUGCAGCACAUAGCACCGCUUUUGAAGUACUGCAUGCUUGCCAAAAGAAAAAUUGAACAUAAACUUUCAAGUUUAUUGAAAAUGGAGGGUCCAGGAGUAGUGACUCAUGUCUAUAAUCCCAGAACUUUGGGAGGCCAAGCCAGGCUGAUCACUUGGGCCAGGAGUUCAAGAGCAGCCUAGCCAACAUGGUGAAACCCUGUCUCUACUAAAAAUAUAAAAAUUAGCUGGGCAUGGUGGCUCAUGCCUGUAAUCCCAGCUACUUGGGAGGCUGAGACAUGAGAAUCACUUGAGCCUGGGAGGUGGAGGCUGCAGUGAGCUGAGAUCACGCCAUUGCACUCCAGCCUGGGCAACAGAGCAAGACUCUAUCUCAGAAAAGAAAAAAAAAUGAGAAAAGAAAAUGGAGGGAUAAAGGAUUAAGAUAAAUGAUGCCACAAAGAAGUAAACAGAAAAAUUUAGAAUUUUGGAGUGCAGGGACUGCAGGACAACUGACCAAAUUUCUUCAACAUGUCAAAUAUAUGUGUGUUUGUGUGUGUUUAUUCUAUAAAUAUAAUAAAAAUAUUUUUAUAUAAAAGUAUAUUAUAUAUAAAAGAAAAUUUGGAUUGGAUUAAUGUAAUGUUUACAGUUAUGGUAAUGGCUAUGUUAAUGUAAUGUAAUGUUAGGCCUUGUUUAGUUCCUGAUUUGAACGAACUAAUUUUUAAAAAGGCAUUUUUUUAAUAAGUAGGAAAAUUUGAAUAUGGACUGGUUAUUGGAGGGUACAGGGAAAUAUUCUCAAUUUUCUUGGGUGUGAUCAUGGCACUGUAGUUAUGGGAGAAAAUGCUAAUAUUUUUUAGAGAUAUGCACAAAUGUGUUGGGAAGUCACAUCAAAUGUGGGAUUUGCUUAAAAAUAUUUAGCAACAAUAACUACAACAGAAAAGAAUAAGUGAUGCAAACAUGAUGAAUGCUUGCUAAUUGUUAAAGCUGGGUGAUGACUACAUAAAGGAUCAUUGUAUUAGUCUCUCAAUCUUCCUGUGUUUGAAAUUGUUUUAAAUAAAGAUUCAUUUAAAAUGCAUGGCUUAAAAUAGCCAAUGAGGCUGAAAACAGAUUCUCUUGUACCACUGAGCCCAGUUCUAUGCACACAGUAGGUGCUUAAUAGGUGUAUUAUGAAUUACUAGAAUUGGAGCAUGGAAAACAGCUACAGGAUGAAUGAAAAUCACCCUGUUCU